rnacentral:tRNA from 1 species
CCGCAAGUAGCUCAGUGGAUAGAGCGCUCACUCCCUAAGUGAGAGGUCGAUUGUUCGAGUCAAUCCUUGCGGU